AAAACAGUCCUAAACAAAAUGGAAGAUUCACCUUUGUCUUCCAUGAUUUCCAGCCAAAGCGAAUCACCGCGCACUGGCAGUCACACUGGCAGUGAAGAAGACAUGGUGUCAUUGGGCAACUCAUUAGUGCAAGUCCCAAAACGCCUCUAUCAGAGGCUGAGUGGGAGGAGGAUGUCCCUCUUCACACAGGAACUGGCCACAUUGGUGUUUGGCAGGGAAACUUUGGCCAAGGCAACCCUCACAGGGAAAGGAAAAAAAGGCGAGCUGAAGGAGCAGCUUGAGCCAGAAAAACCAACGCAAUUAUAGAUGCAGUCAGGGAGCGAUUCCCCAACACCGAGGUGGCAGAGAUCCGGGCCCUUCUACGGAGAAAGUGCAACAAUGAGAGCUAUAAGGCCUCUAGUAACUCAAGUCAGAGCUAGAUAUGCAUGUGUAGUAAGUUGUUUUGCCAUUGUUCUGUUAUCGGCAUUUCAGAGAAAGUCGACUGUUCAAGGUUCCUCCUUUUGCCAAUAUCUGCUUUUGUGUGUUACUUUUGUGUUAAUAAUAAAGAUCCUCUUCUGAAAUGCAA